AGUGAACGCUGGCGGUAGGCCUAACACAUGCAAGUCGAACGGCAGCACAGUAAGAGCUUGCUCUUACGGGUGGCGAGUGGCGGACGGGUGAGGAAUACAUCGGAAUCUACUUUUUCGUGGGGGAUAACGUAGGGAAACUUACGCUAAUACCGCAUACGACCUACGGGUGAAAGCAGGGGAUCUUCGGACCUUGCGCGAUUGAAUGAGCCGAUGUCGGAUUAGCUAGUUGGCGGGGUAAAGGCCCACCAAGGCGACGAUCCGUAGCUGGUCUGAGAGGAUGGUCGGCCACACUGGAACUAAGCCACGUUCCAGACUCCUACGGGAGGCAGCAGUGGGGAAUAUUGGACAAUGGGGGCAAGCCUGAUCCAGCCAUCCCGCGUGGGUGAAGAAGGCCUUCGGGUUGUAAAGCCCUUUUGUUGGGAAAGAAAAGCAGCAGGUUAAUACCCCGCUGUUCUGACGGUACCCAAAGAAUAAGCACCGGCUAACUUCGUG
rnacentral:rRNA from 1 species